UGGGGAAUAUUGCACAAUGGGCGCAAGCCUGAUGCAGCCAUGCCGCGUGUAUGAAGAAGGCCUUCGGGUUGUAAAGUACUUUCAGUCGGGAGGAAGGUGGUAAGGUUAAUAACCUUGGCAAUUGACGUUACCCGCAGAAGAAGCACCGGCUAACUCCGUGCCAGCAGCCGCGGUAAUACGGAGGGUGCAAGCGUUAAUCGGAAUUACUGGGCGUAAAGCGCACGCAGGCGGUUUGUUAAGUCAGAUGUGAAAUCCCCGGGCUCAACCUGGGAACUGCAUCUGAUACUGGCAAGCUUGAGUCUCGUAGAGGGGGGUAGAAUUCCAGGUGUAGCGGUGAAAUGCGUAGAGAUCUGGAGGAAUACCGGUGGCGAAGGCGGCCCCCUGGACGAAGACUGACGCUCAGGUGCGAAAGCGUGGGGAGCAAACAGG
rnacentral:rRNA from 1 species